UAUGAGUUCAAUAGGUAACAUAUUUGGCUGAAAAUGAGAAAAAGAUUGAAACAUCUAUAAAGUUGCGACCCAUAGCUUAACUCAAGCAGAUAAAACAAAUAGCUAUAAUCUAAGUGUGAAGAAACCUUUGUAAAGAAAUUGUGAAGCUCAAUAUGAAAUAUAACAGAAUGUUAAUGCAUUAUACUCCAACAAAGAUAGAUUCAAUCAACUUAGAGCUGCAAUAAUAAUGGUAACAAAAAUAGUAUAGCAUUGCCAUUUUGUUUUUAAUCAAAAGUUUGAUCUUGGAGGAUGGUUUCCUUUUCUCUAGUGAAGAACAUGUACAUAAUUGAAUCGUUGUGCAGCGGAAGUCUCAACAGGAAAGCUAGUAACCUUCACUGCACCUUUACUCCACUCCCUGUUGAGUUGAUCAUUAAAGCUAGUAACCUUCACUGCACCUUUACUCCACUCCCUGUUGAGUUGAUCAUUAAUUAGACAUCAAUUGAUUUUUUUUACCAUAUGUCGAUUAAAAUAUUAAUUUAUACAACUCAUUUCUAUAUAAACAAUCAAGAUGCUUAGAACAUACAUAAGCAGGAUUCAUCAUGACAGGAGCUUUUGCUCAUGGAGCUAUAUUUAUUCAAAGUGGCUUACUUCUACAAAAAUCAUAAAUAAAAUAUAAAGGAAAGCUUCAAACUCUACCUAAUUAGCUCAUAUGAUCAACAAAAUCCAAAAAACUUGAAAAAAGAAAUAAAUUUGUACUCUCUUGCAGAGAUAAAAAAUACAACUUCUCUAUCUCCACGAAGUAGGGGUAAGGGUCUACGUGCACUCUACCUCCUCAAACCCCGCUUUUGGGAUUACACAGUGUGUGUUGAUGAUGUUGUUGUUGUUGUUGAAAUAAGCACAAAACAAUGGACGCACACUAACAUAACUAAGGCAAAGGAUAACUCAAACUUUGUUUUUCAUGAAUCUCAAACCUUGAGUCACAUCCUCCGAGGGACAGAGUUAUCUGAUGCCUAUGCUCGUGAGAGGUAGCAAGUACCCAUAAAAUUAGUCAAGGUCCAUGCAAGCUAGCUCAAACACCACAAUUAUCAAAAAAAUUCUUAAACUUGGAUAACCUUUUGUAGAAUUUCUACAUAAUAAGCCUAAAUCAUUAUCCACUAAAACUUCCAUAAACAUCAAAUUCAUACAUUCAUUCUGCAACUAAAAUCCCAAAAAAUGAAGAAUAAGAUUACAAACAUUAACAAAAGUGGGGUAAAAAAAUAACUUGAGCUUUGUUAAUCAAAACAUCAACAACUUCUUUAAUCCCAAAAACUCUUUUAAAUUGCCUUCAAAUGCCUAGCACUAUUUUUAAAAAAUAAAUUACUGAAAAACCUUAGUGAAAAUUCCAAAUUCACCGACUAUCCUACACCAGCUACCCCUAAAUCCUCACCCAUCCAUCCCAUUUGUAUUUUGCUAGAUUACAACGCCCCCUAUCUCAUCCCGUGACUAUCCUAUACAAAAUGGAAAAUCUAGUCUCCAAGGAGUUGGGAGACAAUAAUUGACAUAACUAUGUCAUCUUACAUAGGGACAGAAUAAAUUCAAUCUCACCCUAUGGUCAUCCAUGUAUAGUAGACAAACAGUAAGUAAAGAGACAUUAUGUAAAUCCACCAACUAUUCAUUAUUUUUGAAGUAAUACAAUGAGGGGAUCACAUGUUAAAAAAAUAAAAUUAAGUUUAUUACUUUUAUUCAUGAAGUUGUACAACUCUUGAGGCUCGUCUGUUUUGGUUCUCUCAAUUAGGUUCUUUAAGAAGCAAAGACGUAGUACAAUGAAUACAGAGCUUUCAGAUAAAUGAAUAAUAUAUGUUAAAAUUGCACUCGAUGAAAAAUAAAUAACUCAUUUUACAAAGUAUUCUUCAUGUUAAAAGAAAGUCUACCUUGUUAUAUAAGCACAUUAUUAUUUAUGUUUAUAUACAUACACACAAGUCAGUAUUCAACAUUAUAAUGCAACUGCAUAUACAACUGUAAAAUCAAAUCAACUAAAGAGGGAGAAAUGUUGGACUUUCCGUAUAGAAGAAAGAGUUGUUAAAUAGGGUAACUCUAAUAGCGAAACCUUCCAGUUAUUCAAAGUCCAACAUAUAUAUAUAUAUAUAUAUAUAUAAAAUUUUCGUUUUGAUAUGUAAGAUUAUCAGAAGAAGACCAAAGGUGCUAGUUAUUCUUUUAGUCACAUACAAAAAUGUACCUAUAAAGCUCAACAACAAAUCCUCAAUUUACCAUGAAACUCAAAUUGACUCAUCUACCAUGCCAAACUGUUAGGUCAUGGACAUGGAUCUCCAUCAACAAAAAUUGCUAGAAUGUCCAAUUCUAUCUUCUCUUAUUCCACUCUUAUGCUUAAAAAGACUCAUUCAUCAAGCAAUACGUUAACAAUAAAGAGUUCUACGGUAAUUAUCACUUUCAAAUAAGUAGACUAUCACAUUAACAAUAAUGUGUUCCACAGUAAUUACCACUUUCAAAUAAGCAAACUAUGCAGUAUGUACUCCAAAAAUAGUUGUUAUUAACAGGAAAAAGAUGUAAUUUCGAGGUUCUGCUACCAAUCAACCACUCUGUCAGUUCUAUUCAGGUUCAAAAUUAAGUUCAAUUUACCUUAUAAUGCUCAAUGUUCCCUACAUCACAUCUUUUCAAUUUCUUUCCUUUCCUUUGUUCUCCAAGUACCUGUAAAGUCCAAUUUAUAAAAAAAAAAUAACAAAUUGAGAAAACACCCGCAUCAAGAACAAAAGCGGAAGCAACACCACAUUUAUGAAAUACACACCAAAUUGAAAUACGAAGCUAUAAUAGGGACACAGAGCAGUAAACAACAAUAACAACAACAUUCAAUGAAGUUUAGAUUCCGUGCAUGCAACAUUAGCACAAAAUGAGAUCUAAAAUCAAAAGGCAAAACAAAAAUGAGAAGUAAGAAGAAAGGGAAGAAGCAGCGCAUACCUUCCUAGGUAUGCAAUUUAACUGAGAAUUUCAUAUGAGAGCUUGCAAAACCCUUCCAUUUUGCAGAGAAUUUUUUCUUGGGAAAGAAAAUGGAUGAAAAGGAACAUGGGUAUAUCACGUAUCCAGGACACGUUUUUCACAGAUGAAU
rnacentral:lncRNA from 1 species